rnacentral:rRNA from 1 species
AACCUUUAGCAGAACAAAUAUUAAAGGCGACGCCUGCCCAGUGAACUAUUAAACGGCCGCGGUACCCUAACCGUGCAAAGGUAGCAUAAUCAUUUGUCUAUUAAUUGUAGACCGGUAUGAAAGGCAAAAUGAGGGCCUGACUGUCUCUUAUAAUACAUCAAUUAAACUGAUCUCCCAGUCCAAAAGCUGGAAUACAAACAUAAGACCAGAAGACCCUGUGAAGCUUAAACUAAACUAUUAAAACCUAUAAUAACACCUUUCGGUUGGGGCGACCUUGGAAAAAAAAAGAACUUCCAAACACAUGACCUUUCAUCAUUCAAUCAGGCUAACAGGCCAAAAUAUAAGACCCAGCACAGCUGAUAACUGAACCAAGUUACUCCAGGGAUAACAGCGCUAUCUUCUUCAAGAGCCCAUAUCAAAAAGAAGGUUUACGACCUCGAUGUUGGAUCAGGACAUCCUAAUGGUGCAACCGCUAUUAAGGGUUCGUUUGUUCAACGAUUAAUAGUCCU